AUUAAUGUCCGUGCUGUAUAACA
rnacentral:siRNA from 1 species